CAAAGUGAUUGAUAUCCUGAAAUGUGAAAAGGCUUCUUAAGUUACCUUUUAUUUCACUGUUAUAAAAUUUACAAACAAGAAAAAUUUAUAUUUUAACCAAAGUAUAAAGUCAGAUAUUUUAAACCUUGGUCAUUUGAUUCUGAAUGUUUCUUGAAAUCAUUACUUAUUACCAUAGCAACUCAGAGUAGCAGUUAUUUUAAAAAGUCACCCAUUGACAAACACACAUACACACACACACACACUAAAAAGCAGUACAUCUGUGGAAUUUCUCAUAAAAGUCCAAUGAGAUCUUUUAAUCUGAGGGUCCAAAUUAAGAAAAGUAAUCACAAAGGAUGGAAGGAAGGAAUUCUGGGAAUCAACCAACAGAAAAAAGCCAACAGGAGAUCUUUACAAGUUUUAACACUCUUAAGCAAAACAGCAGCACCACCAAAAGUCUUGGGGUGCACUAAUUGAAGACUGGCCUUACACUAUAUGACAAGGAAUGUGCAUAUUGAUCUUCUCUCAAACAUAAGAGUGGAUAUGACCAGGUGAUUUCCUCACCAUCUCAGCAUCUAUCUCUUGAUUAUCUGGGAUCAUGAAUGUCUCUUUGC